UUGUGCGAAGCAGAAUGAAUACAGAGUUAUAAGUACAAUCUCAAAAAAAGGUAGGCAGAGUGGAUUUGCUGAACAGCAUCCAUCCGCUUAUACGUCCGUGACAUAAAGUAGUUCAUGAUUUGCACUUAAAUCGCUUUAAGCAUACGCUAAGCGAUGACUUAUCCGUCCCAAUGUUGCAAAAAAUUAUGUUAAAGUUUUUUCUACCCGAAAAUCAUGCACUUUAUUCAUGUUUGACAUCUAAAAACAUCGAUAAAAAUUUCCUGUAUUUCUACGCUACAAAUUAUUAUUAACGCAUGCGCAGACUCACAAUAAUUUAUCGAAGAGAACAACACGUAAGAGAAAUUGCUCAGGAAAGAAUCAACAACCAUCGCACAUAUUGUAAGUAAAUAUAUUUGAGUUAUUGUUUUUUUUUCAUUGAUUAUCACUUUAUAUAUUUAUUCAUUACAUAACUUGACGAGUAUUUUACGGGAAAUUUGAAUAAACGGCCAAGUUCAAAAACACUUUGAUUGACUCGGCCGCUCGUCAUUUUGUCAUUUACGUAAUUUUCCCUAUAAUUCGAAAUGAAAGUGUUAGAAUGUUUCGAUUUGAGACCAACUUAUCCACUGAUUUUGAUCAUUGUCAUGUUUUUUUGUUGUUUACUCGUGUGUCACGUAACUUGGUCAUAACAUAAACACAAACACGAGGUUGACCCACUUUUGAGAAUUGGCCCAUUGUUGACAAUAGCGUGAAAGGCGUUUGUUAUUAUCUAUUUCAUCACUUUCUUUUCGUUAGAAAAUGUGGUUAAUGAGCUGCUUUUUAGAGUUUUGUAUUUGGUUGUGAAAUAUUAACAAAUUUCAUUAUGUAAGGUUCGCGCCAUAAACAUGACUCAUACCGGAAGUUCCUUUGUUUGUUUACGACCGGAAGUCGCUUAUGUUCAAAAAUUAAAUAAGAAUCAAAAUUACAUGAAGGAUUUAAAGUUAGAUUGAUGUGGUAAAUGCUGUAUAAUAUUUAUUUCCAGGUUGACUGUAACCUUUUUGUAGUGGGUAUUGUAGCGGAUAUUCCUUGUGACGGAAAUAAAAGAUUAUUUACUUUAAUAUUCACUUGGAAAGGCUGGUACAUGUAGCUAGAAAAAGUACAGUAUAAGAUUAAAGAAAGACUAGAAGAUUAUUACAAACAACAGGUGGACAUGUGUCACUGUCAAGCGAAUGAAGAUAAGCAUCACACUCGGUGGGAAUCUCCAGUUUCCAGAUGUAGUGAUCAUAACUGUAUAGGCACCAUUAACACUUUGGACUAGUUGGAGUAUUUUAGAGGGCUAGUCUGAAUUGAAUCCCCUGUCAAUAGUCAAGGCCAGUCAUGAACAUUGUGUUGAAGGAAAAUGUUUAAAACUCGGAUUUUCCGCUUAACCAAUCAUUACUUUACCUUAUAUUCAGUGCGGUAAUGUAGGAAAUGGUUACUUUCUGGAACAGAGCUGUCAAUUAUUUUUAAUUUAUUAGCUUGUUAGUGUUAUCGUCAGACAGUUGUGAAGUAAAAACAUCAUAGUUUUGACUGUAUACAAGUUGCCUUAAAGAAAGUAUGUCGAAAUCUUAACAGUUAUUCGUUGAUUUUGUAGAAAUUGACUAGAAUUCACCUUUGUUAACAUGCAUCGCUUGGACGUCGAAAACGACAUGCAAUGACAUUUCAGUGAAAUUUGGAAACUUGCUCGUAUUUUGGAGCAUUUUGUAGGAUUUCGAUGAAGUAAAAAGUGUUUAUGAUAGGAUACAUUAUUCCUAGAGACAACCAUAAAGAUAAAAUAGUGAUCUGGUGUAUUUUUACCGAACAGUUCUUGUUUGUUUUGCAUGAUAUUUUUUCUCUCGUUAGGGACCUUUAUUCUUUUAUAUAUAGUAUUAUGAGCAUAUAUAUGGGUAAAUGUGGUAUAUAGUGCCUGUGGUUUUAACAUGUAUCUUAGCUUGCCUGGUGUAAUGAUAAGUAAUAAACCUGAGAAUUGAAACUAUGAGAAUAAAUUGUUGUUAUUAGUCCCCUUCUAUUUUCAUUAAGAGGGGACUAAAGGCUGACCCAUUUCUGUAUGUCAAUGAAAGCUGAAAGCUGAAUUUUGCUAUAACUUAAAUGGUACAAAAGUAAGGUUCAUCAUACUGGUAUCUGAUAUAGAACUAUACAGAGAUUUAGCAUGUUUUUAUAAUUUAUGCUCCUAUGAUUCUGGAUAAAUAUCUGUGUUCAUUCCAUACAGACUUGUACUUUUGGGGAAAAAGGUUGCUCAUGGGAGGAAAAUAUGUUUUUAAUGGUGUUUUUGAGAUUUUAGUUGAUAAAGGAAAAAAAAACAUAGUCUGUACUUAGGAAGACAUUUGUCCUUCACACUCUUGUCCGAAAUAUGAAUAUAACUAGAUAUGUAUUGAAGGGAUUUUAUGUAAACUUCACAAAGUGAUAGAGACUUUUAAGAGGAAGUGCAAUGUUCAAGAAACAUAACUCUACCUUGCUUCAUGUUUUAAUUAUAUUCCUUAAGUUAAAAAUGCUUAUUCCAAACUAUCACUGAAUCUACAUCAACUUGAACGACUCGAAUUUUCCAAUGUGUCAAAGAACCAUAACUCCAUUCCUUAGUUUUUAGCUCACCUGUCACAAAGUGACAGGUCAAGCUUUUGUGAUCCCUUUUUCGUCCGGCCGUAAACUUUUACUUUAAAUGACAUCUGCUCAUAAACCACUACGCUAAUUUCAUCCAAACUUCACAAGAAUGUUCCUUUGGCUGUCACCUUUAAAAAUUGUGCAAAGAAUUUAAUUCCAUGCAGAACUCUGGUUGCAAUGGGAACCGAAAGAAAAAAACUUUAAAUAUCAUCUUUAAAAAAAACCCUAAGAGCUAGAGCUUAGAUAUUUGGCUUGAAACAUCCUUUAGUGAGUGUCUACCA